UCUCACUCUCAAAGUCACUCUCACAGUCCCCCCGCUCCACUCCUCCGUCGAAUCCACGCCGCUCCUCAUCGUCCAUCACUCCAUUGACUCAUGCCGCUCCACUCCUCCGUCGAAUCCAUGUCGGUCCUCGUCAUCCAUUGACUCACGCCGCUUCUCCAUCGACUCACACUCACACACUCGAAUCCGACACCAAUCGAGUCCCAAAAUCCAGGUUAGUAGGCCCAGAAGCUUUCCCAGUUGCAUGCAACUCUUCAUCUCUGUGCCUCGAGAGAUUUCUUCACUGAUUAGCACAACAAAUAUCACAGAGAGAGAGAGCACAGAGAGAGAGAGAGAGAGAGUGUGUGUGAAACGAGAAGAUAGAGAAUGAGAAGAAUUUCGAGAGGUCCUAAUCGCUUCUUGUUUUUCUUCGUCUUCAGUAUCUGUGAUGCACU
rnacentral:lncRNA from 1 species